rnacentral:lncRNA from 1 species
GCACGGUGCUAUGCAACUCAGAUAUGAAAAAGUAGUUCAAAAAAAUGCAUGGUACUACAUAAAUUAAAUAUUAGUCCGGAGAGAUACAUGAUGCUACGAAAAUCUUAUAUGAGAAAGUAGUCAUCAGAAAGAUGCAUGGUGCUACACAAAUUAGAUAUGAAAAAGUAGGGGAAAGAAGUGGUGGCCUAACUUUUGCUAACAUGAUCAUUGGCUGGUAGCAUAUAUGGGUUAUAGCCGCCC